rnacentral:rRNA from 1 species
AUUGAACGCUGGCGGCAGGCCUAACACAUGCAAGUCGGGCGAGAGGCGGACGGGUGAGUAAUGUAUGGGGAUCUGCCUGAUGGCGGGGGAUAACUACUGGAAACGGUAGCUAAUACCGCAUAACAUCAGAUGAAGCCAUAUGGGAUUAGCUAGUAGGUAAGGUAACGGCUUACCUAGGCGAAGAUCCCUAGCUGGUCUGAGAGGCUGAUCAACCACACUGGGACGUAGACACGGUCCAGACUCCUACGGGAGGCAGCAGUGGGGAAUAUUUGACAAUGGGCGAAAGCCUGAUGCAGCCAGGCCGCGUGUAUGAAGAAAGCCUUCGGGUUGUAAAGUACUUUCAGUCGGGAGGCGUUACCGACAGAAGAAGCACCGGCUAACUCCGUGCCAGCAGCCGCGGUAAUAC